AUUGAACGCUGGCGGCAGGCCUAAAACAUGCAAGUCGAACGAGUGGCGGACGGGUGAGUAAUGUCUGGGAAACUGCCCGAUGGAGGGGGAUAACUACUGGAAACGGUAGCUAAUACCGCAUACCAUCGGAGGUGCCAAGAUGGGAUUAGCUAGUAGGUGGGGUAAGGGCUCACCUAGGCGACGAUCCCUAGCUGGUCUGAGAGGAUGACCAGCCACAAUGGAACUGAGACACGGUCCAGACUCCUACGUGGGUCAGCAGUGGGGAAUAGUGCACAAUGGGCGCAAGCCUGAUGCAGCCAUGCCGCGUGUAUGAAGAAGGCCUUCGGGUUGUAAAGUACUUUCAGCGAGGAGGCGUUACUCGCAGAAGAAGCACCGGCUAACUCCGUGCCAGCAGCCGCGGUAAUUC
rnacentral:rRNA from 1 species